rnacentral:lncRNA from 1 species
AGUCAAUUAGUGCACUUGGGUUUGAGAGGUUGGUAACAAGCUGCCACUCUGCGUUUGGUGGUUCCUUUUCUGAACAGGUGGCAACUGACUGACAGGCUUUCUCUAAAGUGGAGGACAUCUGUGUUUUCCAUAUUGCGGAACACUGGAUCUUUCCAAGAUUGGAUCUUCCACAUUUGGGAAGACAGCUGAAUUGCCUUCAAGUUCCUCCUGUUACGGUACAAAUACCCACCUGAUGUGCAAACAUGAGAGACGCAGCUUUACACUAGAACCAAUGAAAGCAAAUCUGAGAAAACCCAACUCUUCAGGAAUGGAGACUACAGAUAUAUGAGGGGAUCUUAAUAAUUAAAAGAAGAAAAUAUGUAAACAGGAAAAAUCUCCAACUGUCACAAAACGCUACAUUAAAUCAAAUUGCAAAGUUUUGUCUUUUUAAAAAUAUAGUCCUGUGCCACAUGACAACGUUUCAAUCAAGGAGGGGCCGCAUACAUGGCAACGGUCCUGUAAGAUUACAAUGGUGCUGAAAAUUUCCUAUGGCCCAGUGACAUCAUAGCUAUUAUAACAUCACAGUGCAAGGCACUACUCAUGUGUCUGUGAUGUUGCUGGUGCCGACAGAUCUACUGCGCUGAAAGUCGUAUAGAAGUAUAGCACAUACAAUUACAUACAGUACUUAAUACUUGAUAAUGGUAAUAGUGACUAUGUUACUGAUUUACAUAUUUACUAUAACUUGUGUCAUUAUUUUAGAGUGUGCUCCCUCUACUUACAAAAUACAAAAUUUAACUGUAAAACAGCCCCAAGCAGGCCCUUUAGGUGGCAUUUCAGAAGAAGGCAUUGUUAUCAUAGGAGAUGACAGCUCCAUGCAUGGUAUUGCCCCUGAAGACCUUCCAGUGGGACAAGAUGUGCAGCUAUAGAAUAAACAGUGGCUGGAAGAUGAUAAACCAAAGAAGGAAAGAAACAAGUGAACUCAAAUCAAAGAAUUCACAUCAGCUUUUUUGAAAGCGGAAAACCAAAAAUGUCAAUUGCAAGCCUCAACCCCCUUCCUCUUUCCCAAACUGUUUUUCUUUUUGGUUUAUUUCUGCAUCAGAGUCUGCCUAGGUUUCAAAACCAAUUUUCCAUUUUCCUAGAACCAGCCAAAUAUGGAGUGUGUGCAAAAACAUGGUAGCUUAAAAGAAGAAGAAGAAGAAGAAGAUAAUUAUCAAAGAAGGGGGAGGAAGGAAAGAGAAGGGAAAUAAAGAGAGAUGACACAGGGAACUGGACCAGAUAAAGACAAAGCAAUGCACUUAACCCACCUGGAGAGCACAUCGGACCAGCAAGGCGCUCUCAGCCAAUCGCCUGGGUCUGCGGCGGGGAGGAGAGUCCGCAUGGGUUCAUUUGGCUGAGGAGUGUGUUUCAUAAACCUUACGGUGCAGCUAUGAAAGCUAUCAGGAUCUUCCCACGUUUCUUGUCAUUCCGAGGAGAUUGGCUGCUGGAGUGCUGGGUUGGGGGGGGCGGUGGGGAGUGGAGGUUGUAGGGGAAGAGGAUGGUUGGGUUGUUGAGGGGAGACUGGCUCUGGUGGGAAGCGGAAUCACACAGGAAUUUAUUUUAAGUGCAUAAACAAAAUGAAAUGAGGAAAAAAAAAACCCAGUGUAUUCCUUUUGGGUCAUGUGAGAGAGCCACUGGCAAAGAUGAGCGGGGAAAGAGAAAGGGAGAGAGAAAAAGAGAGAGAGGCAAAAAGCUUUCUAUGAUUCGGGACACUGGUGAAGCACACUGAGGCAGCUGGAAGAUUAAAUUAAGUAUUAUAUCUGCUGACCCUAUUGCCAUGGUUACCGGACAGCGGAAAAUAUUAAUCAACCCAAGCCUUUUCAGAUGAAUGUGCUUGAUAAACUACAAUAAAUAUAAAUAUAUAUGUAUAUCCUGCCUGCUCUGCUGUCUGAAUUCAGAACGUCAGUCAGUGCACCACCUGAUAGUGGAGAUAAACAAAUAAUAAUAACAAAAUGCUCACCUCCCUGAGAAAGCUUACGUCACUUACAAGAAGCAGGACAUGAACAGUGGGGCUGACCACUUGCUCACUUUCUCUUUAGCUGUUCUCUUUCCUCCUACCCUAUUCAGUGAUGACCCAUCCUGCCCG